AGUUAUAUAUACAGUUAUAGUUUAAUAUAAUGAUUAAUCCUUUAAUUAGUAAAUUAAUAAAAUAAUAAUAUUUUAAAUAUAACAAUGAUCUAUAAUGACUAUUGGACUAGCGCGAAUUCAUUUGGUGAGCUUUGGCGCAAUAACUAGACGUGCCGAUAACCAUUGACCAACAAUUCUAAUAAUUGUGAUUUAAUUAAGUUGUGAUUUGUGUGUCAUUCCCGCAAAUUAUUGACAAAUAUUAUCAUUUUUAUAAAUGCACCUUUUGAGAACUGACAAGAUUUUUGACUCUCUCGUAUUUUUCCUGUUAAUAAUUUGUUUCGUGUUUAACUCAAAAAUACUCUAGAUCAACUACUGCAAAAAUGUAUUAUAAGUGUUAAUUUACCAUUUAGAAUAAUUGAAAAUCCCAUUUUAAAGGAAAUAAUUGAAUGAGGUUUCCCCAACAGAAAAAUGUAUGCUUCGGCCUCAUUUAAUAAAAAGUAUUGAAAAUGACCUUCACAAAUUAUUCUUAAAAAUAAAAUUUGAGAUGUUUAAAUGUGACCAUAUUACUACCACUGCAUAUUGUUGGUCGACUUUUAAAAAAUCAUACAUUGAAAUAACAGUCACAUGGACCAAAGAGGAUUUAUUAAAUACUAAUUGUCUUUUAACACUGAGAAGUCUAGAAGGGUCACAUACAUAUGAUAUCUUAGUUAAAGCUAUAGAUGAAGUAUACACACAGUUUGAAAUUUCAGAUAAAUUAUUUUAUUGUACUACAUAAAAUGAUUCUAAUUUUGUAAAAUGUUUUAAGUAAGAUCUAUUCAUAUUAAUAUAAUUAAUAACUAUAAAAUA